CCUACGGGUGGCAGCAGUGAGGAAUAUUGGUCAAUGGGCGAGAGUCUGAACCAGCCAAGUAGCGUGAAGGAUGACUGCCCUAUGGGUUGUAAACUUCUUUUAUAAAGGACUAAAGUAGGGCAUGUGUGCCUUAUUGUAUGUACUUUAUGAAUAAGGAUCGGCUAACUCCGUGACAGCAGCCGCGGUAAUACGGAGGAUCCGAGCGUUGUCCGGAUUUAUUGGGUUUAAAGGGAGCGUAGGUGGGUUGUUAAGUCAGUUGUGAAAGUUUGCGGCUCAACCGUAAAAUUGCAAUUGAUACUGGCAGCCUUGAGUACAGUUGAGGUAGGCGGAAUUCGUGGUGUAGCGGUGAAAUGCUUAGAUAUCACGAAGAACUCCGAUUGCGAAGGCAGCUUACUAAACUGCCACUGACAUUGAUGCUCGAAAGUGUGGGUAUCAAACAGGAUUAGAUACCCGAGUAGUC
rnacentral:rRNA from 1 species